rnacentral:rRNA from 1 species
CUCCUGGAACAAUACUGACGCUAAGGCGUGAAAGCGUGGGGAGCAAACGGGAUUAGAUACCCCGGUAGUCCACGCCCUAAACGAUGUUCACUAGUCGUCGGAAUGCUAGUCAUUUCGGUGAUGCACUUAACAGAUUAAGUGAACCGCCUGGGGAGUACGGUCGCAAGAUUAAAACUCAAAGGAAUAGACGGGGACCCGCACAAGUGGUGGAGCAUGUGGUUUAAUUCGAAGAUACGCGAAGAGCCUUACCUAGCCUUGACAUUGAAAGAACACCCUAGAGAUAGAGUGGUGCCCUUCGGGGAGCUUGAAAACAGGUGCUGCACGGCUGUCGUCAGCUCGUGUCGUGAGAUGUUGGGUUAAGUCCCGCAACGAGCGCAACCCUCGUCCUUAGUUGCCAGCAGUUCGGCUGGGCACUCUAAGGAGACUGCCUUCGCAAGGAGGAGGAAGGUGAGGACGACGUCAAGUCAUCAUGGCCCUUAUGGCUAGGGCUACACACGUGCUACAAUGGGGCGUACAGAGAGUUGCGAUACCGCGAGGUGGAGCCAAUCUCAUAAAGCGUCUCUCAGUUCGGAUUGGAGUCUGCAACUCGACUCCAUGAAGCUGGAAUCACUAGUAAUCGUAGAUCAGCAAUGCUACGGUGAAUACGUUCCCGGGUCUUGUACUCACCGCCCGUCACACCAUGGGAGUUGAUUUCACCCGAAAUUGGGAAGCUAACCUUCGGGAGGCUACCACUU